rnacentral:rRNA from 1 species
GACGAACGCUGGCGGCGUGCUUAACACAUGCAAGUCGAACGGAGCUAUUUAUUUCGGUAGAUAGCUUAGUGGCAAACGGGUGAGUAACGCGUAGGCAACCUGCCCUCAGGAUGGGGACAACGGCUCGAAAGAGCCGCUAAUACCGAAUGACGUAACUCUUCCACAUGGAAGAGAUACUAAAGAUGGGUCAAACCAUCGCCUAAGGAUGGGCCUGCGUCUGAUUAGCCAGUUGGUGAGGUAACGGCUCACCAAAGCGACGAUCAGUAGCCGGUCUGAGAGGAUGAACGGCCACAAUGGGACUGAGACACGGCCCAUACUCCUACGGGAGGCAGCAGUGGGGAAUCUUCCGCAAUGGGCGAAAGCCUGACGGAGCAACGCCGCGUGAGUGAAGAAGGUCUUCGGAUCGUAAAGCUCUGUUGUCGGGGACGAAAGGAAAGGGGAGGCAAUGCCCUUUUCAAGACGGUACCCGAC